AUGCGCGUGGGAAAUGGUUCCAAAGUCGAUGUGAUCGCGGUCGGCACGCUACCUCUACAUCUACCUUCGGGAUUAGUAUUAGACCUAAAUAAUUAUUAUUUGGUGCCAGCGUUGAGCAUGAACAUUAUAUCUGGAUCUUGUUUGAUGCGAGAGGUUUAUUCAUUUAAAUCAGAGAAUAAUGGUUGUUCUAUUUAUAUGAGUAAUAUCUUUUAUGGUCAUGCACCUUUGAAGAGUGGUCUAUUUUUGAUGAAUCUCGAUAGUAGUGAUACACAUAUUCAUAAUGUUGAAGACAAAAGAUGCAGAGUUGAUAAUGAUAGUGCAACUUAUUUGUGGCACUGCCGUUUAGGUCAUAUCGGUGUAAAGCGCAUGAAGAAACUCCAUACUGAUGGGCUUUUGGAACCACUUGAUUAUGAAUCACUUGGUACUUGCGAACCGUGCCUCAUGGGCAAGAUGACUAAAACACCGUUCUCCGGUACUAUGGAGAGAGCAACAGAUUUGUUGGAAAUCAGACAUACAGAUGUAUGUGGUCCAAUGAAUAUUGAGGCUCGUGGCGGAUAUCGUUAUUUUCUCACCUUCACAGAUGAUUUAAGCAGAUAUGGG
rnacentral:rRNA from 1 species